rnacentral:rRNA from 1 species
UACGUCCCGGGCCUCGUACACACCGCCCGUCACACCACGAAAGUCGGCAAUACCCGAAGCCGGUGGCCUAACCCGUAAGGGAGGGAGCCGUCGAAGGUAGGGUCGAUGAUUGGGGUG